CUCCGGGAAACCGGGGCUAAUACCGGAUGGUUGUCUGAACCGCAUGGUUCAGACAUAAAAGGUGGCUUCGGCUACCACUUACAGAUGGACCCGCGGCGCAUUAGCUAGUUGGUGAGGUAACGGCUCACCAAGGCGACGAUGCGUAGCCGACCUGAGAGGGUGAUCGGCCACACUGGGACUGAGACACGGCCCAGACUCCUACGGGAGGCAGCAGUAGGGAAUCUUCCGCAAUGGACGAAAGUCUGACGGAGCAACGCCGCGUGAGUGAUGAAGGUUUUCGGAUCGUAAAGCUCUGUUGUUAGGGAAGAACAAGUGCCGUUCAAAUAGGGCGGCACCUUGACGGUACCUAACCAGAAAGCCACGGCUAACUACGUGCCAGCAGCCGCGGUAAUACGUAGGUGGCAAGCGUUGUCCGGAAUUAUUGGGCGUAAAGGGCUCGCAGGCGGU
rnacentral:rRNA from 1 species